UACGUAGGGGGCAAGCGUUGUCCGGAUUUAUUGGGCGUAAAGAGCGUGUAGGCGGCUUGGUAGGUCCGCUGUGAAAACUCGAGGCUCAACCUCGAGAUGUCGGCGGAAACCGCUUGGCUAGAGUCCGGAAGAGGAGAGUGGAAUUCCCGGUGUAGCGGUGAAAUGCGCAGAUAUCGGGAAGAACACCUAUGGCGAAGGCAGCUCUCUGGGACGGUACUGACGCUGAGACGCGAAAGCCAGGGGAGCAAACGGG
rnacentral:rRNA from 1 species